rnacentral:rRNA from 1 species
GACGAGCGCUGGCGGCGUGCUUAACACAUGCAAGUCGAACGGAAAGGCCCUGCUUUUGUGGGGUGCUCGAGUGGCGAACGGGUGAGUAACGCGUGAGUAACCUGCCCUUGACUUUGGGAUAACUUCAGGAAACUGGGGCUAAUACCGGAUAGGAGCUCCUGCUGCAUGGUGGGGGUUGGAAAGUUUCGGCGGUUGGGGAUGGACUCGCGGCUUAUCAGCUUGUUGGUGGGGUAGUGGCUUACCAAGGCUUUGACGGGUAGCCGGCCUGAGAGGGUGACCGGCCACAUUGGGACUGAGAUACGGCCCAGACUCCUACGGGAGGCAGCAGUGGGGAAUAUUGCACAAUGGGCGGAAGCCUGAUGCAGCAACGCCGCGUGCGGGAUGACGGCCUUCGGGUUGUAAACCGCUUUCGCCUGUGACGAAGCGUGAGUGACGGUAAUGGGUAAAGAAGCACCGGCUAACUACGUG